rnacentral:lncRNA from 1 species
AGUUAUUUGUAGCUUGUUUUCUUGUUUAAUUCCAAAGCACAAACAACAAAAUUAUGUUGUAUAUCCUUUUCCUGCUUACAUUAAACAUUUUAGCGUUCGCCUUUCUUUUACAUAUUUUAUUCAUUUUUCACCCAAAAGAAUAUCUCCAUCCUUAAACCCACAUGAUUUUUGUCAUUAGGAGUAUAAUAUUAAGUAAAUAAAAAUAUUCAAUCUACUACUGAAACCACUCUGAGUAGUUGAACUUAACGUGCAUGUUGUUGAUUAACUCGGACGCCAUAGGAAGGGCAUGAGUGUACAAAGUCUCAAUAUGAUGAUCACUGAUGGAGAGCAAAUAUUUAACUUUUCAGAUGCAAGCCGUGGAUAAUCCGUCUUUGAGGGCAUCUUUAACAUGGAUGAUGGAAGAUUAGGUGGGUGAAUCGUUGUAGUGAGUAGUAACAUGUAGGAUAUUUGGACAAUUGACAUACAUAUAUUUGAUUGUAUUUUAAUUUUUAUAUCUUAUAGAGAUAAGUAACUUAUUUUCCUUCUCUCUCAAAAAAAAAAAGUAACUUAUUUUCCUAUCGUAUUUUGUUGGUUUCUGACCGAAUUCAUAUUCAACGUAACUAUUUUAACUUGAGAUGCAAG